rnacentral:lncRNA from 1 species
UAGGGACGUGGUAGUUCUGGCUAUUUCUCAAAAUUUUUAUAUACAACUAUAAAAGUCACUAAUUAUAUUUUAUUUAGUAUUUAAAGAUAAUCCGAAAUUAAAAAGGAAAUGUAGAAAAUCUAUUUUUAAAGCAUUAUUUAGCAAGCUGUAAAAAAAAUAUUGUUAUAAUUGUUUUUCUCAUUUAAUUCUUACAGAUACAUCAAAAUUAUAAAAACUAAAUUAUACAUUAAAAUUUUAAAGUUAUAAUCUCACACUAAUCACCCCUUUGAAUUUCCAUGUAUUUAGUUAGCUAGAGGAAUCUGCAUAAGACAAUAUUAACAAAUGUCUUAUAAAAACAAUAUUAACAAAUCAUAUACUAUGGAUCUAACUGGUGACCAUUAUAGGAAUAUUAGGAAUGAAUAGGAAAAAAAUGCAGAGAAAUAAAAUUAUAGGAAUGAAAAAAAAAGAUAAUUCUUUAUUAAUUUCAAUGAAGAACAAUUUUUUC